rnacentral:tRNA from 1 species
UCCCUGGUGGCUCAGACGGUAAAGUGUCUAUCUACAAUGCGGGAGACAUGGGUUCAAUCCCCAGGUCGGGAA